rnacentral:rRNA from 1 species
UACGGAGGGUGCGAGCGUUGUCCGGAAUCACUGGGCGUAAAGGGCGCGUAGGUGGCGCGAGUAGUCAACGGUGAAAGCCCGGGGCUCAACCCCGGGUCGGCCGUCGAUACUCUCGUGCUUGAGCACUGUAGAGGCAGGUGGAAUUCCGGGUGUAGCGGUGGAAUGCGUAGAGAUCCGGAAGAACACCGGUGGCGAAGGCGGC